rnacentral:rRNA from 1 species
GGGGGCGGUUGCSGCUGGAGGGUCUGCUUACCAUGCAGUCGAACGAACUCUUCGGAGUGAGUGGCGGACGGGUGAGUAACGCGUGAGAAUCUGCCUGUGGGUCGGGGACAACCACUGGAAACGGCGGCUAAUACCGGAUGAGCCGAAAGGUAAAAAAUUUAUUGCCCACAGAUGAGCUCGCGUCUGAUUAGCUAGUUGGUAAGGUAAAAGCGUACCAAGGCGACGAUCAGUAGCUGGUCUGAGAGGAUGAGCAGCCACACUGGGACUGAGACACGGCCCAGACUCCUACGGGAGGCAGCAGUGGGGAAUUUUCCGCAAUGGGCGAAAGCCUGACGGAGCAAGACCGCGUGGGGGAGGAAGGUUUUUGGAUCGUAAACCCCUUUUGUCAAGGAAGAAGUUCUGACGGUACUUGACGAAUAAGCCUCGGCUAACUCCGUGCCAGCAGCCGCGGUAAUACGGAGGAGGCAAGCGUUAUCCGGAAUGAUUGGGCGUAAAGCGUCUGUAGGUGGCCAGCUAAGUCUGCUGUUAAAGAUCACAGCUCAACUGUGGGAAGGCAGUGGAAACUGGCAAGCUAGAGGCUGGUAGGGGUAAAGGGAAUUCCCGGUGUAGCGGUGAAAUGCGUAUAUAUCGGGAAGAACACCGGUGGCGAAAGCGCUUUACUGGGCCAGACCUGACACUGAAGGACGAAAGCUAGGGGAGCGAAAGGGAUUAGAUACCCCUGUAGUCCUAGCUGUAAACGAUGGAGACUAGGUGUAGCACGUAUCGACCCGUGCUGUAUCGUAGCCAACGCGUUAAGUCUCCCGCCUGGGGAGUACGCACGCAAGUGUGCAACUCAAAGGAAUUGACGGAAAGGGC